rnacentral:lncRNA from 1 species
CAACUGUUGCAUCGGAGAGCGCUUUCAGUCAAGCAAGACUACAAAUCAGUGAUCACAGAGCGGUGAUGAGGGAGAGCAUGGAAAAAUCGGUGCUUUUUAGAAAUUCGAUCCGCGCGGAAAGAAGAAACUUUGGCAUUGCAGAAUCACAACCGGCGAUAGAUAAAGCAUAUGAAGAGAUGAUAGCAGAACUUUCUGAGGAAUCGGCUUCGACUGGAAGUGGUGAUGAACAAGAUU